CUUCCUUGAGCAAAACUGAGAUUCGCAGAAAUUCCCAUGGCAUUUGAACGUACGGUAAUUGCUGUUGAUUGUCCUUACAAGGCCAACAAACUGAAUCUUAAGGAAAUGUUGAGAUUAUAGUCUGCCUGGCUCCAAAUCCUGAGCUUUUAAACAAUUUACUACUACAUGAGGUUUCUACACAAAGAAAUAUUCUGCUAAAUAACCAAGUCAUUCCAUCUCUUCCUCCCUCAGCUCUUUCCAUGUCUGGUAACAGGAUUCAAGUCAGAGUUAUAGUUUUGAUAUAAAUUUAUGAAAUCAUUUUGACUCCUUGAGGCUCUUUAUCUUCGAGAUUGGCAAAAGAACACUUUUGAAACUGAACCAGUUUAUGAAAUAGUUCUUCAUCUGAAGAUGAAGGUAGAGUCAUCUGGUGCUGCUUUUUGGAUAUCAUGAUGCUAAGAAAAUAUGACCAGGAGAGAGAGAAAGAAAAGAGAGAGAACUGAUGAUGGGAUGCUUCAUCUUAUCAAAAGCCAGCAAAAUAUUGUAUAUGGGUGGUAAAGGCUAAAUGCUGAGAUAUGCAUGAA